rnacentral:lncRNA from 1 species
AGCCCUGUCGGAGACCCUAAGCUCCCGGGCUGCAAGCUCAGAGCCUAGAGCAGUUCAUUUGUGAGGGGCAGGCCCAAGUUAGAUUUACAGCUGUCCCUCGUAACUGUAACUACUGGACUUCAGCUACUACCCGCCACGCACGUAACGCAGACUGUUGGAGCAAUACAUAAGAAAUAAGAGCAGAAACUACAAGGGGGAAAAAAAUCAACAAUCUCUGCUACCAGACAGUUAAACAGUUAAACAUCGAGAGAAUGAACGCCUUCUGGAA